rnacentral:rRNA from 1 species
AUUGAACGCUGGCGGCAGGCCUAACCCAUGCAAGUCGAACGAAUGGCGGACGGGUGAGUAAUGUCUGGGAAACUGCCAGAUGGAGGGGGAUAACUACUGGAAACGUUAGCUAAUACCGCAUACCAUCAGAUGUGCCCAGAUGGGAUUAGCUUGUUGGUGGGGUAAAGGCUCACCAAGGCGACGCUCCCUAGCUGGUCUGAGAGGAUGACCAGCCACACUGGGACUGAGACACGGCCCAGACUCCUACGGGAGGCAGCAGUGGGGAAUAUUGCACAAUGGGCGCAAGCCUGAUGCAGCGAUGCCGAGGGUAUGAAGAAGGCCUUCGGGUUGUAAAGUACUUUCAGUGGGGAGGCGUUACCCGCAGAAGAAGCACCGGCUAACUCCGUGCCAGCAGCCGCGGUAAUAC